UGGGGAAUAUUGGACAAUGGGCGCAAGCCUGAUCCAGCCAUGCCGCGUGAGUGAUGAAGGCCUUAGGGUUGUAAAGCUCUUUCGCCGGUGAAGAUAAUGACGGUAACCGGAGAAGAAGCCCCGGCUAACUUCGUGCCAGCAGCCGCGGUAAUACGAAGGGGGCUAGCGUUGCUCGGAAUCACUGGGCGUAAAGCGCACGUAGGCGGAUCGUUAAGUCAGGGGUGAAAUCCUGGAGCUCAACUCCAGAACUGCCCUUGAUACUGGCGAUCUCGAGUUCGAGAGAGGUUGGUGGAACUCCGAGUGUAGAGGUGAAAUUCGUAGAUAUUCGGAAGAAACACCAGUGGCGAAGGCGGCCAAACUGGCUCGAUACUGACGCUGAGGUGCGAAAGCGUGGGGAGCAAAACAGGAUUAGAUACCCUGGUAGUCCACGCCGUAAAACGAUGGAUGCUAGCCGUUGGGGGGUUUACCUCUCAGUGGCGCAGCUAACGCCUUAAGCAUCCCGCCUGGGGAGUACGGUCGCAAGAUUAAAAACUCAAAGGAAUUGACGGGGUCAUAGCUGUUUCCU
rnacentral:rRNA from 1 species